CCGGCGCCGGCGGCACCAGCAGCGGCUGCUGCGACGAGGCCGACGUGGGCGGCAGGUGCGGCGGCCGGAUCUUCUCCGCCAUCAGCUGCUCCUUGAUCUUGUUAAUCAGAACCAGACACCAAGCUGCCCUUCCCUCAGCCCAGCAUUAAGAAGCAUUUCCUGCCUGGAGUUCUCCCUGAGUGUUCCAGAUCCCUUUCUCAGAAAGACCUCAACACAGUAAUGACAGAAGGCUGCCAUCUACCAACUGCCUACCUUGUACCAGACACACUGACACUCAAAGACAGAGCCCCAGGAAGAAGGGAGUAUCUGCAUCCCCAUUUUGCAGAGGGAGGCACUUUGCUCCAGGCCACAAGGACAGAGAGACAGAAGGGAGCACCGCACUGCACUGCUGGGCAUCCGCUCUCAGAGACUGAGUUCUCAUCUGUGAAAUUGGGUGAAAUAGGCUGCUCCGCUUCAUUCCUGCUCUGGCCCAGGAGUCUGCCUACCACACCAGCUGUUCUCAGAGUUCUGGGGGAGCUACCUUCUCCUCCUCUUCAGCUCAAUGUCAAGUUCAGGCUUCCCAAAGGCUCACCCCUACCCCCAAUCAGGGAGAUAUGGGGGGAAGAAGGUGGCUGGCCUAGGGUCCCAUGGCUGGGAUAGAGCAUCCUCUCUGCCACUUGUCAGGCUCCUGGGCAGACAAGGAUGCCCCUCCCCCUGGCUGGGGCCAUGGAAGAAAAGGAUUUGCCCCGGACCACUUAAUCUGAUCCCCACAGUCUCUGCCUAAUUUCUCCUUGUCCUCCUCUGGCUGGUCUUAAGUAAUUUAAUGAUUCAGUCUGUGCCCCUGGCCCUGGUGUACACCUGUGUGUCAAAUGCGGGGAAGGCAGUCGGGGGAUGGCCAUUUGCUAAGCUCCUACUGAUGUCAGGCUUCCUGCUAGGCUCACUCCAGGAGUAUCUCAUGGGAGCCUCCCAGCAAGCCUGUGGGGUGGGUACCUAGCUGUGCAAGCCUGGGACCUGCUCGACA